GCCUCCAUGGCGCAGCGGUAAGCUGUGCAUACCUGGCUGCUUGAGCGCGUCGGUUCGAUUCUCGCUGGGAGCA